GGGACUUUCUCGCUGCUUACGUAUUUUUGGACUAUUUCUCCAGCGCAUUGUUCGGACCCCUUUCAAAUUAUUUGUCUUUUCAAAAUCUUUUAGNUAGUCUGCAUGAAUCGUAUAUUAAAACUCAAGUUGAUAUCGAAAGUCGGGAAGUGCCCUUGUUCUAAAAUUAGAGUGUGACGUCACGGUACUGUGCACUGUACUGCAGCAUGGCGAAGACAUUUUGGAUACCAAUGUAGUACAGUUACGUGCAGUGCCGAAGACCAAAGCGCUGGCUGUCGUGCUGCUUUCAGUUUUGACCUUCUGUACUACUUCAAUACUUACCACGACAUGACAGUAUGAAAGACAUCACUGAUAUGGGCUCAGAACAACGUGCCCAUUUGCUGAGCUUUCUUGAUUAUCCUAAAACUGGGAGUUGCAAUUGGAUUCCGUCCGCCAGAUGGGAGGCCUCCAUGCAGCAUCAGCAGUCGAAACUUCGAGAGGAUGGUCAUGUUGGGCAACUACAGUGUGCUGCCAUCAUAUAGUGCUGCCGCACCGCUGCGUCUCGGGAUGGCAGGGCCUACCAACUCUCAGAGUGGGGGGAAGCCUCUUAAUCUCAGCAGGGCAAAUGGCACCAAGAUUUCUACACCCGGGAGGUCCUGUGACACUGAGCAGGCCAGAAGUGUAGAGGCUGGUGGGUGUUCGGACCUUCCGCGUCCUCUGGCCACCUACAAGGAGCUGAUAAGGGAUGUUGAUCAGGGUGUUUGUACUGAACCAGGGUGCUCAAGUGAUGUCAGUGAGCUGCCAAAGGGGCGUCCUAGCACAUCCAUCACUNUGCUCUCCCGGUAUGAUGCCCCAAGACUCCGUCGACUCUCCUCCAAGGAGCCCCCACCAGAAAGCAUUGCCGGACAGAGCAUCAGCUUCUGAAUCCGAUCAGCCGGAGCUUUCUCAAAGUCUGGAGUCGUCAGAGAGCACUGCAACACCGCACAGUACUUUGGAUGAUUCAGGACACACUGCUGGUCAUCCUUCGAGCACUCAUUAUUUGUACGAUUUUAUGAUAAUAUGCCAUCCGGAUGAUGAGCAGGAAUCAGAAUGUAUCUAUAACUUGCUAGAGAGAGAACUGAGUUUAAAUGGGUAUCAGUACAGUCGGGAUAAAACUGGGGGAAAUUACAUGCUGAGGGAGAUGAUCAAGGCCAUUCAGAAUUGUCGCAAAGUCUUCUUGUUUGUCACUCCUCGAUCCUUAAAAUGCUCAAUGUUUGAGCGACACAUGCAUUGCAGUCUGAAUAACUCCAUAGAAUCCAAUCGUAAAAAUGUAAUACCGGUUUAUUGGCAGCUUUCUCGGGAUAAGGGUCCUAGUGUCAUGAGGGGAAUUUACAGUCUUGUUUAUGACGGCUGUAGUGAUGAGUUCCGGAAACAAAUGAUGAGGAUAUUUGCAUUGUCUCAAUCAUCUACUUCAUCAAUGCCUAGAAGUUCUAGACGAGAUCGAGGGGCGCCAUGUGCCAGUUCCCCUAAGCUGACACAUUCAAUGAGUCCACUUUCUGGAACAAGAAAGUUUUUUCGCUGGUUUUCUUCUAAAAAGUGAAAUAAGACUGAUUAAUUUAAUGUUUAGGCAGCAUGUUAUUUGGUGUUUCUUUAGAAUUUGUUAUUUAUGGUGUUUUGAGCUAUUAACUGUGUUUUAGCUAUUAAGUGUGACAAAUGGAAUGAAAUUCCACCAGAUGUUAUCUUGAGCAUGAUAACAAAUUUCAGAUAAAUAUUCUUGCUGGCAAUAGCAUAGAAGAAUGUUGAUUGAACAUGUGGAAUCAAAGCAAAUAAUAAAGAGUGGUUGUGUUCAAAGUACAGACUGUAUGAAAAGCAAAUGAAUCAAUAUUGAUACGAAAAGAAAACACUCUGCCUUUUGUGUUAUUGUGCUGGGCUAAGGUAUCAUUUAAUUUGAGUAAGUGGAAUAGAAACUGCACUCUGAUAUGCAGUGUUGAAGAAUAUACACAUUGUGGCAGAACUCAGACCACAGACACUUGAAGUGAACCUCCAGCAAAGAUCACUGACUCGAUGUUACACUCAGGACAGGAAACAACCAAAAGCAAGAGGGCCAAACUCUCUGCCAUUGGAACACUAACUAAUGUGGCUUGCAUAUGUGGCAAAAGUCAAAAGGGGGAGCUUGGGCCCAAGUAAACUAACGGGCCACAAUACCAAGAAAUACAAGGGACACUAAACAAUAGUUAAUGACUGUCUCGAGGGGAGCUACCCCUUUAUAAAAAAAGGGAAAUUUAAAAUCUAAUUUCUGAUUCUGCCACAGAAACCAUUGAUCCUGUCAGUUUUUGUAUAGUCUGCAGUACACUGGAGCAAACCUGGCUGUCACGUGUAAAUUACGCUGGUGGAAAUUGUGUGUAUCUGGUUAAAGAUUAGCUUUUGGAAUGUACAGUGAAUAGCAAGGCAGGGCUCAGUGGGCAUUCCAGACCAUGAGGGUGUAGUUUUUUGGGGGGGGGCACCAACAUCACUUUGGAAUAUUUGAUUUCUAUGGCAAUUUUCAACUCAAUGGGAGAGUUUUCAGAUGCUAGGUGACGGGAAACUCACUCCUCCCACAUGACUGAUAUACUGUUGUUUGCAUGUGCACAUUAGCUCAAACAUGACGCCAACUACAAUGUAUGGACUGGUCACGUGAGAUUGAUUUGUUUGCCGUCAACAAUCGUAGGCAGCAAAAGUUGUGAGGGGGGCACCUAAUUUUGACAGCAACCCCCCCACUCUUGGUUCUUUGUGGUCAAUUCUGGUCUGGUUUUGGUUGGCUUGCUGUAUAGGAAAGCUUUCACAACUGCCAUCUUGAUGGGCCCUUUCCUCUCGUUAGGUUCAUGUAAAAAAAUGCUGCUUUUUGAAAUUUGAAAAUAGAACAAAAUCAAAACCUCUCUUUCUGACCACUUAAUAUAUGAAAUCUGUUGGCUGGGGUGCUUAAUAUUCCCCUCCUGUUUGAUAAUCCAUACACUUUUUAUUAAAAGGUAUUUGUCAGAAAGAAUAUUAAAACCAUUAAUUAAGAUCUGUACUUGUGAAGAAAUGCACUUCAAAGUUAUACAAAAAGCAAUGCCACACUGUAGUGUAUUCCCACUGUUUAUCAUGUGUGACCUCAAAAGGUGUUUUGGUUUCAUUGGAUAGAAAAACAAACUUUCCUUUCCCAUACCCUGUGCGGUGGUUGACUCUUUGUGAGAAUAAUUAUAAUGUCCAAAUGGCUCCACAGAUUUGAUGAUGAGUCGACACAUGUUCAUGUAGGUUCCGUGAUCUAUGUGGCUUCAACCAACGAGUUCAUUUCAGUGCUUAUUGAUAUAGGUUGGGUAAGGGCAAAACCUGUUAUAUAUAAUUAACAUCUCCCCAAC